rnacentral:rRNA from 1 species
CACGUAGGGUGCGAGCGUUGUCCGGAAUUAUUGGGCGUAAAGAGCUCGUAGGCGGUGUGUCGCGUCGGCCGUGAAAACCUGCAGCUUAACUGUGGGCUUGCGGUCGAUACGGGCAUCACUGGAGUUCGGCAGGGGAGACUGGAAUUCCUGGUGUAGCGGUGAAAUGCGCAGAUAUCAGGAGGAACACCGGUGGCGAAGGCGGCAUCCUGGACCGACACUGACACUGAGGAGCGAAAGCCAGGGGAGCAAACGGG